UGGGGAAUAUUGCACAAUGGGCGCAAGCCUGAUGCAGCCAUGCCGCGUGUGUGAAGAAGGCCUUCGGGUUGUAAAGCACUUUCAGCGGGGAGGAAGGCGAUAAGGCUCAUAACCUUGUCGAUUGACGUUACCCGCAGAAGAAGCACCGGCUAACUCCGUGCCAGCAGCCGCGGUAAUACGGAGGGUGCAAGCGUUAAUCGGAAUUACUGGGCGUAAAGCGCACGCAGGCGGUCUGUCAAGUCGGAUGUGAAAUCCCCGGGCUUAACCUGGGAACUGCAUUCGAAGCUGGCAGGCUAGAGUCUUGUAGAGGGGGGUAGAAUUCCAGGUGUAGCGGUGAAAUGCGUAGAGAUCUGGAGGAAUACCGGUGGCGAAGGCGGCCCCCUGGACAAAGACUGAAGCUCAGGUGCGAAAGCGGGGGGAGCAAACAGG
rnacentral:rRNA from 1 species